AUACGGAGGAUGCAAGCGUUAUCCGGAUUUAUUGGGUUUAAAGGGUGCGUAGGCGGUUUGCUAAGCGGGAGGUGAAAUGCCGGCGCUCAACGUCGGAAGUGCCUCCCGAACUGGUGGACUUGAAUGACUCUGCCGUGGGAGGAAUGUGUAGUGUAGCGGUGAAAUGCUUAGAGAUUACACAGAACGCCGAUUGCGAAGGCAUCUCACGAAGGGUUGAUUGACGCUGAGGCACGAAAGCGUGGGGAUCAAACAGGAUUAGACACCCUGGUAGUCCACGCAGUAAACGAUGAUGGCUAACCGCUGGGCUUAUCAGUUCAGUGGCCAAGCGAAAGCGAUAAGCCAUCCACCUGGGGAGUACGACCGCAAGGUUGAAACUCAAAUGAAUUGACGGGG
rnacentral:rRNA from 1 species